GAUGAACGCUAGCUACAGGCUUAACACAUGCAAGUCGAGGGGCAGCGGUAUCGAAAGCUUGCUUUCGGUAGCCGGCGACCGGCGCACGGGUGAGUAACGCGUAUCGAACCUGCCUCAUACUCGGGAAUAGCCUUGCGAAAGUAAGAUUAAUGCCCGGUGUUUUCAGAGUCCCGCAUGAGGCUUUGAACAAAGAUUUAUCGGUAUGAGAUGCCGAUGCGUCCCAUUAGCUUGUUGGCGGGGUACCGGCCCACCAAGGCUUCGCUGGGUAGGGGUUCUGAGAGGAAGGUCCCCCACAUUGGAGCUGCGACACGGACCAAACUCCUACGGGAGGCAGCAGUAUGGAAUAUUGAUCAAUGGGCGGAAGCCUGAACCAGCCAAGUAGCGUGAAGAAAGACGGCCCUCCGGGUUGUAAACUGCUUUUAGUUGGGAAUAAAACGGGGCUCGUGAGCCCCCUUGCAUGUACCAUCAGAAAAAGGACCGGCUAAUUCCGUG
rnacentral:rRNA from 1 species